rnacentral:rRNA from 1 species
GGGAACGAAAAACUUAAGCAGAGAUGCUUUGGUGCCUUCGGGAACUCUGAGACAGGUGCUGCAUGGCUGUCGUCAGCUCGUGUUGUGAAAUGUUGGGUUAAGUCCCGCAACGAGCGCAACCCUUAUCCUUUGUUGCCAGCGGUUAGGCCGGGAACUCAAAGGAGACUGCCAGUGAUAAACUGGAGGAAGGUGGGGAUGACGUCAAGUCAUCAUGGCCCUUACGAGUAGGGCUACACACGUGCUACAAUGGCGCAUACAAAGAGAAGCGACCUCGCGAGAGCAAGCGGACCUCAUAAAGUGCGUCGUAGUCCGGAUUGGAGUCUGCAACUCGACUCCAUGAAGUCGGAAUCGCUAGUAAUCGUGGAUCAGAAUGCCACGGUGAAUACGUUCCCGGGUCUUGAAACACACCGA